GUAUAAGAGACAGCAGCAGCCGCGGGAAAACGAAGGGUGCAAGCGUUACUCGGAAUUACAGGGCGUAAAGCGUGCGUAGGUGGUGGUUUAAGUCUGCUGUGAAAGCCCUGGGCUCAACCUGGGAAUUGCAGUGGAUACUGGAUCACUAGAGUGUGGUAGAGGGAUGCGGAAUUUCUGGUGUAGCAGUGAAAUGCGUAGAGAUCAGAAGGAACAUCCGUGGCGAAGGCGGCAUCCUGGGCCAACACUGACACUGAGGCACGAAAGCGUGGGGAGCAAACAGGAUUAGAUACCCCUGUAGUCCCUGUCUCUUAUAC
rnacentral:rRNA from 1 species